rnacentral:rRNA from 1 species
AAUCAACGCUGGCGGCGCGCUUAACACAUGCAAGUCGAACGAGAAAGGGGAGUAAUCCCUGAGUACAGUGGCGUACGGGUGAGUAACACGUGGGUGAUCUGCCUUUUAGUGGGGGAUAUCUCUGGGAAACCGGAGUUAAUACCGCAUAAGCUCGGAAGAGGAAAGCCGAAAGGCGCUGAGAGAGGAGCCCGCGGCCGAUUAGCUAGUUGGUGAGGUAAUGGCUCACCAAGGCCGAGAUCGGUAGCCGGCCUGAGAGGGCACACGGCCACACUGGCACUGAAACACGGGCCAGACUCCUACGGGAGGCAGCAGUGGGGAAUCUUGCACAAUGGGGGCAACCCUGAUGCAGCGACGCCGCGUGAGCGAUGAAGCCC